GUGAGAUCUACUGGAGCUCACUGAAGUUGGAAGUGGGAGAUUUCAACUCGGAUGUUUCCCUUUUCUGACGUUCUCUGGAACGCUGCAGAAGUAGGCUACCACCCUGCGGGUCAUUUUUGAUUGGUCAGCGCGGUCUGCAGGUUUUAUACAAGAGGAAGGAACUAUCGGUAGAAAUAGAGUGCGCUGUUGUUGCACAGGGAUACUUGAGGGUUACUAGGCUCCGUCUCUUCUUCAGUAGGCUAUACGAGAUGAAAGGGAUUUUAAAAUAUCUCGUUGGAAUCAUUCUGUUUGUGUACUCGAACAUCAAACUGACAUUAGGAGCAUCUGUUGUCUUGCAAUGCAAUGGGACGAGACAGAACGAUGGACAGUUCCUCUUUGUCAUUUUGUAUAACAUUAAAGAGUACUUCAGUGACUGCGAGAAACAAUGGCUUGUCAAUGGAACUCUGACAGGUCUUUUUGAGGAAGGAAAUCCAUCUUUCAUCUCUCCUAUUACAAACCUGACCGCAAGCACUGCCACUCUGCAGGCCUGUCCUGAAAAUCUUGAGUGUCUGCUCUCCUGCCCCACUGGCAAAAUCAAUGAAAAGCAACUGUGCUCUUGUGAUAUCAGCACUCCGACUUCACUUUCUGAAGUGGGUUAUCUUGACUGGAGCGUUGGUAUUUGGACUGGAGUGAGUGUGUCUGUGGUUCUGUUGGUGUCUGUGAUUAUCGCCAUUGUACUUUAUAAGAUUAAACAAAGGUCAAGAUUUGGCCCUAGUGUUCCAGUUCCUGCUGAACAGAUUGUUUUAUUCUGAAGAUGUUCCAUCAUCACACCUGGACCUUUUAUCUUCAGUUAUUCAUUCCUUGUACUCCAGAAGUAAUCUUUUUAUAAUUUCCAUCAUUUAUGUAGCAUUAGCUCUAUUAUUCUGUGUGUGUUGGCUACAUUUAGCAUCUCAGUGCUUUAUAGCUUGUAGGAAUUUGUUCAUCUUUUAAAAUAAAUUAUGACACUAACCGUAAAUGAAGUUACA
ensembl:lncRNA